rnacentral:tRNA from 2 species
CCUUCGAUAGCUCAGUUGGUAGAGCGGGGGACUGUAGAUUUAUAAUUGUGAUCCCUAGGUCGCUGGUUCGAAACCGGCUCGAAAAA